GACGAACGCUGGCGGCGUGCCUAAUACAUGCAAGUAGAACGCUGAAGGAGGAGCUUGCUUCGCUGCAUGAGUGGCGAACGGGUGAGUAACGCGUAGGUAACCUGCCUGGUAGCGGGGGAUAACUUUUGGAAACGAUAGCUAAUACCGCAUAAUAGUAGCUGUUGCAUGACAUUUGCUGGAAAGGUUCAAUUGCAUGACUACGAGUUGGACCUUCGUUGUAUUAGCUGGUUGGUGGGGCAACGGCGCACCAUGGCGACGAGCCAGCGUGGACCUGUGAGGGGGGUCGGCCCCACUGGGACUGUGACACGCCCCAGACUCCUUGAGGAGGCGGCCAUAGGCCAUCUUGGGCAAUGGACGGAAGUCUGACCGAGCUACGCCGCAUGAGUGUAGAAGGUUUUCGGGUCGUAGAGCUCUGUUGUCGGAGAAGAACGAGUGUGAGAGUGGAACGUACCCUCAGUGACGGUAUUUUGCCAGAAAGCGACGGCUAACUACGUG
rnacentral:rRNA from 1 species